CCUACGGGAGGCAGCAGUGGGGAAUAUUGGACAAUGGGGGCAACCCUGAUCCAGCCAUGCCGCGUGUGUGAAGAAGGCCCUCGGGUUGUAAAGCACUUUCAGUGAGGAAGAACGCCUGGUGGUUAAUACCCAUCAGGAAAGACAUCACUCACAGAAGAAGCACCGGCUAACUCCGUGCCAGCAGCCGCGGUAAUACGGAGGGUGUGAGCGUUAAUCGGAAUUACUGGGCGUAAAGCGCGCGUAGGUGGCUUGAUAAGCCGGUUGUGAAAGCCCCGGGCUCAACCUGGGAACGGCAUCCGGAACUGUCAAGCUAGAGUGCAGGAGAGGAAGGUAGAAUUCCCGGUGUAGCGGUGAAAUGCGUAGAGAUCGGGAGGAAUACCAGUGGCGAAGGCGGCCUUCUGGACUGACACUGACACUGAGGUGCGAAAGCGUGGGUAGCAAACAGGAUUAGAUACCCCGGUAGUC
rnacentral:rRNA from 1 species